UGGGGGAUCUUGCGCUAAUGCGCGAAAGCGUGACGCAGCGACGCCGCGUGGGGGAUGAAGGCCCUCGGGUUGUAAACCCCUUUCGGCAGGGACGAAGGGAAACUGACGGUACCUGCAGAAGAAGUCCCGGCUAACUACGUGCCAGCAGCCGCGGUAACACGUAGGGGACGAGCGUUGUCCGGAUUCAUUGGGCGUAAAGCGCGCGUAGGCGGCUCGGAAAGUCGGGCGUGAAAUGCCGGGGCUCAACCCCGGGACUGCGUCCGAUACUUCCGAGCUGGAGGUAGGUAGGGGAGAUCGGAAUUCCUGGUGUAGCGGUGAAAUGCGCAGAUAUCAGGAGGAACACCGGUGGCGAAGGCGGAUCUCUGGGCCUUACCUGACGCUGAGGCGCGAAAGCUAGGGGAGCGAACAGGAUUAGAUACUCUGGUAGUCCUAGCCGUAAACGUUGGGUGCUAGGUGUGGGCGGACAUCGACCCGUCCGUGCCGAAGCUAACGCAUUAAGCACCCCGCCUGGGGAGUACGGCCG
rnacentral:rRNA from 1 species